rnacentral:rRNA from 1 species
UACGAAGGGGCUAGCGUUGCUCGGAAUCACUGGGCGUAAAGCGCACGUAGGCGGCUUCUAAGUCAGGGUGAAAUCCUGGAGCUCAACUCCAGAACUGCUUUGAUACUGGAGAUCUUGAGACCGGAAGAGGUAAGUGGAACUGCGAGUGUAGAGGUGAAAUUCGUAGAUAUUCGCAAGAACACCAGUGGCGAAGGCGGACUCACUGGCCCGAUAC